rnacentral:rRNA from 1 species
GAUGAACGCUGGCGGCGUGCCUAAUACAUGCAAGUCGAGCGAACGGACGAGAAGCUUGCUUCUCUGAUGUUAGCGGCGGACGGGUGAGUAACACGUGGAUAACCUACCUAUAAGACUGGGAUAACUUCGGGAAACCGGAGCUAAUUCCGGAUAAUAUUUUGAACCGCAUGGUUCAAAAGUGAAAGACGGUCUUGCUGCCACUUAUAGAUGGAUCCGCGCUGCAUUAGCUAGUUGGUAAGGUAACGGCUUACCAAGGCAACGAUGCAUAGCCGACCUGAGAGGGUGAUCGGCCACACUGGAACUGAGACACGGUCCAGACUCCUACGGGAGGCAGCAGUAGGGAAUCUUCCGCAAUGGGCGAAAGCCUGACGGAGCAACGCCGCGUGAGUGAUGAAGGUCUUCGGAUCGUAAAACUCUGUUAUUAGGGAAGAACAUAUGUGUAAGUAACUGUGCACAUCUUGACGGUACCUAAUCAGAAAGCCACGGCUAACUACGUG